AUUGAACGCUGGCGGCAUGCCUUACACAUGCAAGUCGAACGGCAGCGCGGGGCAACCUGGCGGCGAGUGGCGAACGGGUGAGUAAUAUAUCGGAACGUACCCUGGAGUGGGGGAUAACGUAGCGAAAGUUACGCUAAUACCGCAUACGAUCUAAGGAUGAAAGUGGGGGAUCGCAAGACCUCAUGCUCCUGGAGCGGCCGAUAUCUGAUUAGCUAGUUGGUAGGGUAAAAGCCUACCAAGGCAUCGAUCAGUAGCUGGUCUGAGAGGACGACCAGCCACACUGGAACUGAGACACGNUCCAGACUCCUACGGGAGGCAGCAGUGGGGAAUUUUGGACAAUGGGCGCAAGCCUGAUCCAGCAAUGCCGCGUGAGUGAAGAAGGCCUUCGGGUUGUAAAGCUCUUUUGUCAGGGAAGAAACGGGUUUUUCUAAUACAGAGAUCUAAUGACGGUACCUGAAGAAUAAGCACCGGCUAACUACGUGCCAGCAGCCGCGGUAAUACGUAGGGUGCAAGCGUUAAUCGGAAUUACUGGGCGUAAAGCGUGCGCAGGCGGUUUUGUAAGACUGUCGUGAAAUCCCCGGGCUCAACCUGGGAAUGGCGAUGGUGACUGCAAGGCUAGAGUUUGGCAGAGGGGGGUAGAAUUCCACGUGUAGCAGUGAAAUGCGUAGAUAUGUGGAGGAACACCGAUGGCGAAGGCAGCCCCCUGGGUCAAAACUGACGCUCAUGCACGAAAGCGUGGGGAGCAAACAGGAUUAGAUACCCUGGUAGUCCACGCCCUAAACGAUGUCUACUAGUUGUCGGGUUUUAAUUAACUUGGUAACGCAGCUAACGCGUGAAGUAGACCGCCUGGGGAGUACGGUCGCAAGAUUAAAACUCAAAGGAAUUGACGGGGACCCGCACAAGCGGUGGAUGAUGUGGAUUAAUUCGAUGCAACGCGAAAAACCUUACCUACCCUUGACAUGGCAGAAAUCCUCGAGAGAUUGAGGAGUGCUCGAAAGAGAAUCUGCACACAGGUGCUGCAUGGCUGUCGUCAGCUCGUGUCGUGAGAUGUUGGGUUAAGUCCCGCAACGAGCGCAACCCUUGUCAUUAGUUGCUACGAAAGAGCACUCUAAUGAGACUGCCGGUGACAAACCGGAGGAAGGUGGGGAUGACGUCAAGUCCUCAUGGCCCUUAUGGGUAGGGCUUCACACGUCAUACAA
rnacentral:rRNA from 1 species